CGAAAGCCUGACGGAGCAAGACCGCGUGGGGGAAGAAGGCUCUUGGGUUGUAAACCCCUUUUCUCUGGGAAGAAAGUUGUGAAAGCAACCUGACGGUACCAGAGGAAUCAGCAUCGGCUAACUCCGUGCCAGCAGCCGCGGUAAGACGGAGGAUGCAAGCGUUAUCCGGAAUGAUUGGGCGUAAAGCGUCCGCAGGUGGCAGUUCAAGUCUGCUGUCAAAGACCGGGGCUUAACUUCGGAAAGGCAGUGGAAACUGAACAACUAGAGUAUGGUAGGGGCAGAGGGAAUUCCUGGUGUAGCGGUGAAAUGCGUAGAGAUCAGGAAGUACAUCGGUGGCGAAGGCGCUCUGCUGGACCAUAACUGACACUCAGGGACGAAAGCUAGGGGGGCG
rnacentral:rRNA from 1 species